rnacentral:rRNA from 1 species
UGCGCAGGCGGUUCUUCAAGUCAGUGGUGAAAGCCCGGAGCUCAACUCCGGAACUGCCAUUGAAACUGUAGAGCUCGAGUACGAGAGAGGUGAGUGGAAUUCCCAGUGUAGAGGUGAAAUUCGUAGAUAUUGGGAAGAACACCGGUGGCGAAGGCGGCUCACUGGCUCGUAACUGACGCUCAUGCACGACAGCGUGGGGAUCAAACA